rnacentral:rRNA from 1 species
CACGUAGGGCGCAAGCGUUGUCCGGAAUUAUUGGGCGUAAAGAGCUCGUAGGCGGUCUGUUGCGUCUGCUGUGAAAACCCGGGGCUUAACCCUGGGCUUGCAGUGGAUACGGACAGACUAGAGGUAGGUAGGGGAGAAUGGAAUUCCCGGUGUAGCGGUGAAAUGCGCAGAUAUCGGGAGGAACACCGGUGGCGAAGGCGGUUCUCUGGGCCUUACCUGACGCUGAGGAGCGAAAGCCAGGGGAGCAAACGGG